AUGAUCUUGAAGUGUAAGUCAGAGUACAUUGAUGAGGCUGUUCCCAAGCUGGCCACUCUCACCCAGCAGCAGCAAGAGCAUAGCUCCACAAAUACAGCCAGAGCACAUCCAAAGGCAAAGUUGGUUUUACGAAUUGCCACUGAUGAUUCCAAAGCAGUUUGUCGCCUCAGUGUUAAGUUUGGUGCCACACUCAAAACCAGCAGGCUUCUCUUGGAACGGGCAAAAGAACUAAAUAUUGAUGUCAUUGGUGUCAGCUUCCAUGUGGGCAGUGGAUGUACUGACCCUGAGACCUUCGUGCAGGCAGUAUCAGAUGCCCGCUGUGUAUUUGACAUGGGAACAGAAGUUGGCUUCAGCAUGUAUCUGCUUGAUAUUGGUGGUGGCUUUCCUGGAUCUGAAGAUACAAAGCUUAAAUUUGAAGAGAUCACCAGUGUAAUCAACCCAGCUCUGGACAAGUACUUCCCAGCAGACUCUGUAGUGAGAAUCAUAGCCGAGCCAGGCAGAUACUAUGUUGCCUCAGCUUUCACACUUGCUGUCAACAUCAUUGCAGAAAAAACCGUGUGGAAGGAGCAGACCGGCUCUGAUGAUGAAGAUGAGUCAAGUGAGCAAACCUUCAUGUAUUAUGUGAAUGAUGGAGUAUAUGGAUCAUUUAACUGCAUUCUUUACGAUCAUGCACAUGUGAAGGCCCUGCUGCAGAAGAGACCCAAACCAGAUGAGAAGUAUUACUCAUCCAGCAUCUGGGGACCAACAUGUGAUGGCCUUGAUCGGAUCGUUGAGCGCUGUAACCUGCCUGAAAUGCAUGUGGGCGAUUGGAUGCUGUUUGAGAACAUGGGUGCAUACACCGUUGCUGCUGCUUCUACUUUCAAUGGAUUCCAGAGGCCAAACAUCUACUAUGUGAUGUCACGGCCAAUGUGGCAACUCAUGAAGCAGAUCCAGAGCCAUGGCUUCCCGCCGGAAGUGGAGGAGCAGGAUGUUGGCACUCUGCCCAUGUCUUGUGCCCAGGAGAGCGGGAUGGACAGUCACCCUGCCGCCUGUGCUUCUGCUAGGAUCAACGUGUAGAUGCCAUUCUUGUAGCUCUUACCUGCAAGUUUAGCUUGAAUUAAGGCAUUGGGGGGACCAUUUAACUUAAUUACUGCUAGUUUGGAAUGUCUUUGUAAGAGUAGGGUGGCACCGAUGCAGUAUAUGGAAGGCUAGGAGAUGGGGGUCACACUUACUGUGUUCCUAUGGAAACUCUGAAUAUUUGUUUUAUAUGGAUUUUUAUUCACUUUUCAGACAUGAUACUAACGUGUGUCCCUCAGCUGCUGAGCAAGCAUUUGUAGCUUGUACAUUGGCAGAAUGGGCCAAAAGCUUGUGUUGUGACCCAUUUUGAAAAUAAAAUAUCUUGAAAUAA